GGUUUGGUAGUUCAGUUGGUUAGAAUGCCUGCCUGUCACGCAGGAGGUCGCGGGUUCGAGUCCCGUCCAGACCG
rfam:Enterococcus sp. 2G9_DIV0600 scaffold00001, whole genome shotgun sequence.